rnacentral:lncRNA from 1 species
CUGAGUUCUGUAGAUAAGCAUGUAUCCAAUCCAGUUUAUAUUAUUAGGUUACACAUAAUUAUAAUCAUUAUUUUCAUUCCCACAGACCACAGUGUAAACAUAUUACAACCUUUAAAAUUUCAAGUCAAUGAGGCUUGAAUCAAGUUAAUGGUGAUGAUUACUACUUAAGUAUCGUAAGAAAGGAAACAAAGGGCUAAUUCCAAACGCGCGAGAGAAUCACCUGCGCCAGAUGCAUGGGAGAGCGUGAGAGAGAUGGGAGACCCACAAAAGCCCCGUAAAAAGGGAAAAGAGAAAAGGAAAGCACAUGUAGUCACAUGAGUUUCUAAAUCUAUCUAUCAUCUCCAUGUGCCUCCUCUUUGCUUUCCCUCUCUCUCUCUCUACACACACACACACACACACACACACACACCAAAACCUACACACACAGCCUAUACAUAGAAUUAAGAAGAGGAAAUGAAUAGAUUAAAUAGAUAUAUACAGUCGCGGAGGGUGAAGCUAUGUGGUGGUGGUACUACGAUGAUCUACUACUUGCACAUGAUUUCUUCUUUCUAGUAUGGAAGCCUCGUUACAUCUUUUUACGGAACCUACCUUUCGGAAUCCUUAAAAUCCUUCUCAUUUUUGUCAACUCUUUGUUAAUUAUUCAAGAAAUUCUAAUCAAGGGAGUAUUAUAGAUUAAUUUUACGUAUAUAAUAAAGUAUACAAAAUUAAAUAAGAAGGAUAAACGUCAUCCUCAUAUCGGCAUUAAUCUUUGCAUAUAACACACUCGAAUUCAUAAUGUUCCUUGUUUUAACUACUGAUUAAUUUGUUGCCGAUCUUCACCAUGAUAAAUAAUUAGCUCUAAUUUGUGUAAUCUUCAAUUAUUAAAUCUGAACUGGACUUUGUAUUAUUUUCAUUAUUUUCUUUAGCAUUUAAAUUUGAAAAUUUGUUAUAUAACUUUUUUAGAGCAUUAAUCUCUACUAAUAAAAGGGACCUUUUGAGGCUCCAUAGAGCGUCCACAUCAGCAAAAAAAACUUCUCUCGAAAGAUGACACGUGGCAUAAAAUAUAGUUUUACAUUUUAAUAUUACAAAUUUUUGAAAAUUAUAAAUAAUAUGUAAACAUACAACACAAAAAAUAGAAAAACUACAUUAAACAUAUGUAAGAUUACCAUUUUUCACUUAAAAAAAAGACGGAUUAUCUCCAUAAUAUAACAUUACCGUUUUAUAAAAAAAAACAAAAAACAUUAUAUAUAAUUUCAAAAAUAAUAAAUAUAUGUAAACAUACAACAUAAAAAAAUAGAAAUACCACAUUAAACAUAUAUAAGAUUACCAUUUUACAUUUUUAUUUAAAAAUAAUAAUAUGUAAACAUACAACAUAAAAAAUGGAAAAAACUACAUUAAUUAAACAUAUGUAAGAUUACCAUUUUUCACUAAAAAAACGGAUUAUCUCCAUAAUGUAAUAUUACUAUUUUCUAAAAAAACAUUAUAUAUAAUUUCGAAAAUAAUAAAUAAUAUGUAAACAUACAACAUAAAAAAUCGAAAUACUACAUUAAACAUAUGUAAGAUUACCAUUUUACAUUUAAAAAUAACAAUAAUAUGUAAACACACAACAUAAAAAAAAAUAGAAAAACUACAUUAAACAUAUGUAAGCUUACAAUUUUCACUAAAAAAACGGCUUAUCUCCAUAAUGUAACAUUACCAUUAUAUAAAAAAAAAAAAAAAACAUAAAUAUAACUAUUUGACUAUUUGUCCAAGUUCUUCUAUUAAACAUUGCCGCUUUACACUAAAAAUGGAAAAAUACAUUAAGAUUUAACCAUCUAUCUUAAAAUAUAAAAUAUAUAAAUUAACUAAAUAUAAAGUAUAAGAAAGAGAAAUACUCAAUAUAUAGAAAAAUAAAUAAUAAGUAAAUAUUAUAAAUAUACAAAUUAUAUAUACAAUAAUAAGUAAAUGCACAAUUUAUAAAAAAUGGAAAGAGUAUAUUAAAUAUUAAACAUCUAUCUUAAAAUGCAAAAUAUAGAUAUUAAGUAAAUAGAAAGUAUAAGAAAAAGAAAUACACAACUUAAAAACAAUGGAAAAAGUAUAUUAAGAUUUAAGCAUCCAUCUUAAAAUGUAAAAUAUAGAUAUUACGCAAAUAGAAAGUAAAAGAAAAGGAAAUACACAAUUUAAAAAAUGGACAAAGUACAUUAGUAUUUAAACAUCUAUCUUAAAAUGUAAUCUAUACUAAUAAAAAGGAUCUUUUGAGGCUCCAUAGAGCGUCCACAUCAGCAAAAAUAACUUAUCCCGAAGGAUGACACGUGACAUAAAAUAUAGUUUUUACAUUUUAAUAUUACUAAUUUUUAAAAAUUAUAAAUAAUAUGUAAACAUACAGCAUAAAAAUAGAAAACUACAUUAAACAUAUGUAAGAUUAUCAUUUUUCACUUAAAAAAAAAAGAUGGUUUAUCUCCAUAAUGUAACAUUACCGUUUUAUAAAAAAAAACAAAAAACAUUGUAUAUAAUUUUGAAAAUAAUAAAUAUAUGUAAACAUACAACAUAAAAAAUGAAAAUACUACAUUAAACAUAUGUAAGAUUAACAUUUUACAUUUUUAUUUUUUUAAAAAUAAUAUGUAAACAUACAACAUAAAAAAUAAAAAUAAACUACAUUAAACAUAUGUAAGAUUACUAUUUUUCACUAAAAAAAAGACGGCUUAUCUCCAUAAUGUAACAUUACUAUUUUUUUAAAAAAAACAUUAUAUAUAAUUUCUAAAAUAAUAAAUAAUAUGUAAAAAUACAACAUAAAAAAUGAAAAUACUACAUUAAACAUAUGUAAGAUUACCAUUUUACAUUUAAAAUAACAAUAAUAUGUAAACAUACAACAUAAGAAAAAAUAGAAAAACUACAUUAAAUAUAUGUAAGAUUAUCAUUUUCACUAAAAAAACGGCUUAUCUCCAUAAUGUAACAUUACCAUUUUAUAAAAGAAGAAAAAAAACAUAAAUAUAACUAUUUGACUAUUUGUCCAAGUUCUUCUAUUAAACAUUGCCGUUUUACAUUAAAAAUAGAAAAAUACAUUAAGAUUUAAACAUCUUUCUUAAAAUAUAAAAUAUAGAUAUUAACUAAAUAUAAAGUAUAAGAAAGAGAUAUACUCAAUAUAUAGAAAAAUAAAUAAUAAGUAAAUAUUAUAAAUAUAUAAAUAUAUGAAUUAUAUAUACAAUAAUAAGUAAAUGCACAAUUUUUAAAAAAUGGAAAGAGUACAUUAAAUAUUAAGCAUCUAUCUUAAAAUGUAAAAUAUAGAUAUUAAGUAAAUAAAAAGUAUAAGAAAAAGAAAUACACAACUUAAAAACAAUGGAAAAAGUAUAUUAAGAUUUAAACAUCUAUCUUAAAAUGUAAAAUAUAGAUACUACGCAAAUAGAAAGUAUAAGAAAAGGAAAUACACAAUUUAAAAAAUGGAAAAAGUACAUUAGUAUUUAAACAUCUAUCUUAAAUUGUAAAUCUAUUUUAAAAUAUAAAAUUAUUAGUAAAUAUAAAGUAUAAGAAAUAGAAAUACACAAUAUAAAUAAAAAUAAGUAAUAAGUAAAUAUAUAAUAUAAGUAAAUACCCAGUUUAAAAAAUGAAAAAUUACAUUAAGAUUUAAAAAUAUAUCUUAAAAUUUAAAAUAUAGAUAUUACGUAAAUAGAAAGUAUAACAAAUGGAAAUAUACAAUUUAAAAAUAUGGAAAACGUACAUUAAGAUUUAAACAUUUAUCUUAAAAUGUAAAAUAGAGAUAUUAAUUAAAUAAAAAGUACAAGAAAUGAAAAUACAUAUACAGGAAAAUAAACAAUAAGUAAAUAAUGUAAAUAUAUAAUAUAUUAAUUAUAUAUAUAUAAUAAUAAGUAAAUACACAAUUUUUUUUUUAAAAUGAAAAAAUUCAUUAAGCAUUAAACAUCUAUCUUAAAAUGUAAAAUAUAUAAUAUAAGUAAAUACACAAUUAAAAAAAAAUGGAAAAAGUACAUUAAGAUUUAAAUAUCUAUUUUAAAAUAUAAAAUAUAGAUAUUACGUAAAUAAAAAAUAUAAGAAAUGGAAAUAAACAUUUUAAAAAAUGGAAAAAGUACAUUAAUAUUUAAACAUCUAACUUAAAAUGUACAUCUAUCUUAAAAUGGUAGUAAAUUAUAUAAAAAUGGAAAUACCACAUUAAACAAAAAAAUAAAAAAGUAUAGUUUUACAUCAAGAAAGUCCCUAUAAAACUCAUUAUUCCAUCAACAUCAACCUCACACUAUCAAAAAAAACUUCAAAGCAUUCGAGCAAAAAAAUGGUUCUGCCAUCGACUCUUGCCGUCCCAAAAACCUUUAAUGACCUUGAAAGAGGUUUUAUAUAACAACGAACUUUUUGUUAGGUGGAUUCAUUGUUGGAAAACCCGCAACUUCUAAAAACCAAACUUAUUCAUGGGAAUUGAAUUGCUUUUCAUAGACUCAAAGGUAUUCUUACAAAUUUAAAUUAAUCUAAUCUAUAAUUUUAUUGUUAAUAUUCAUACUAACUCUUUCAUGAUCAAACCAUUACAGUUAAUAACCAUUCAAGCGUUUAUCCCGAAACACUUCCUUUCUCGCUGAAUCAUGUAUUGGUUCAUAUUGGUUUAGUAUUGUUUUUGGUUUAUUAACCGGUUUAGGAUGGUCCUAUUGUAAAUAUAAUUUAAGUUGGCUUAGCAUAUAUUAUGUUUUAAAUAACUUAAAUUAAAUAAUAGUAAUAUUAGGCUUAAAAUAUAAUUUUAGAGAGUUUUCAAAUAUAUUUUACAGAACAUUAUAGGUGAUGAAUUUAAUUUAUUAAAUUCGUUUAUUACUUAAAACUAAGUUUUUUUAAAAAAACAUACUGAGUUAUAAAUAUCAAUGAUGGAUUGGUGAGUAUAACAUGAAGACAAAAAUAUAAAUAUUUGAUUUUCAAAAUAAGAAAUUCAGCUUUUAUUCAGUUAAUCAAUAUAUAAUAUCUUAAAUUUUUUUUUUAAAUAUACAUAAUUUAUAUAUAUAGAUUAAUCUUCCAAACUUAAACUAUUAUAUUAUAUAUGAAUAAUUUUUUUAAAUAAAAAUAAUUUCUGAUUUAAAAAAUAAAAAUAAAAACAACAAAUGGUUAUUUUCAAACAAUUGAUGUAAUUUACAUUAUACUAUCAUUUAACAAGUAUUAGAUACAUUUUGAUAUAUCAUUAUUUUCUAGAAAACAAUAAAUUGUUAAACAUCAAUAUCAUCUAGGUUAAGUAUACGAACAACACAAAUUCAAACAUCACAAAAAAUAUUUACAUAAACAUUAUAAUACAAUAAUUUAAUCAAAAAAUACAAUUCAAAAAAAUAUUAUUCAAAAUAAUAGUUAUAUACUUAAUAUUUGAAAAUCCAAGAUAUUUUUGCUAAAGUUGUACUUACCUGGCCAAGGAGAUCGACCAUCUUUUUACGGAUCGA